rnacentral:rRNA from 1 species
GAUGAACGCUAGCGGCAGGCUUAAUACAUGCAAGUCGAGGGGUAGCAAGAUUGUAGCAAUACAAUUGUUGACGACCGGCAAACGGGUGCGGAACACGUACACAACCUUCCUACAAGUGGGGAAUAGCCCAGAGAAAUUUGGAUUAAUACCCCGUAACAUAGCGAUGUGGCAUCACAUUGCUAUUAUAGCUUCGGCGCUUGUUGAUGGGUGUGCGGCUGAUUAGAUAGUUGGCGGGGUAACGGCCCACCAAGUCUACGAUCAGUAGCUGAUGUGAGAGCAUGAUCAGCCACACGGGCACUGAGACACGGGCCCGACUCCUACGGGAGGCAGCAGUAAGGAAUAUUGGACAAUGGACGCAUGUCUGAUCCAGCCAUGCCGCGUGAAGGAUUAAGGUCCUCUGGAUUGUAAACUUCUUUUAUAAGGGAGGAAAAAAGGUCUUUCUAGACCGUCUGACGGUACCUUAUGAAUAAGCACCGGCUAACUCCGUGCCAGCAGCCGCCGUAAAAC